rnacentral:rRNA from 1 species
GGGCUGGCGGAAAGUGGCGAAGGGGGGAGUAAUAUAUCGGAACGUACCCUAGAGUGGGGGAUAACGUAGCGAAAGUUACGCUAAUACCGCAUACGAUCUAAGGAUGAAAGUGGGGGAUCGCAAGACCUCAUGCUCGUGGAGCGGCCGAUAUCUGAUUAGCUAGUUGGUAGGGUAAAAGCCUACCAAGGCAUCGAUCAGUAGCUGGUCUGAGAGGACGACCAGCCACACUGGAACUGAGACACGGUCCAGACUCCUACGGGAGGCAGCAGUGGGGAAUUUUGGACAAUGGGCGAAAGCCUGAUCCAGCAAUGCCGCGUGAGUGAAGAAGGCCUUCGGGUUGUAAAGCUCUUUUGUCAGGGAAGAAACGGUGAAAGCUAAUAUCUUUUGCUAAUGACGGUACCUGAAGAAUAAGCACCGGCUAACUACGUGCCAGCAGCCGCGGUAAUACGUAGGGUGCAAGCGUUAAUCGGAAUUACUGGGCGUAAAGCGUGCGCAGGCGGUUUUGUAAGUCUGAUGUGAAAUCCCCGGGCUCAACCUGGGAAUUGCAUUGGAGACUGCAAGGCUAGAAUCUGGCAGAGGGGGGGUAGAAUUCCACGUGUAGCAGUGAAAUGCGUAGAUAUGUGGAGGAACACCGAUGGCGAAGGCAGCCCCCUGGGUCAAGAUUGACGCUCAUGCACGAAAGCGUGGGGAGCAAACAGGAUUAGAUACCCUGGUAGUCCACGCCCUAAACGAUGUCUACUAGUUGUCGGGUCUUAAUUGACUUGGUAACGCAGCUAACGCGUGAAGUAGACCGCCUGGGGGAGUACGGUCGCAAGAUUAAAACUCAAAGGAAUUGACGGGGACCCGCACAAGCGGUGGAUGAUGUGGAUUAAUUCGAUGCAACGCGAAAAACCUUACCUACCCUUGACAUGGCUGGAAUCCUUGAGAGAUCAGGGAGUGCUCGAAAGAGAACCAGUACACAGGUGCUGCAUGGCUGUCGUCAGCUCGUGUCGUGAGAUGUUGGGUUAAGUCCCGCAACGAGCGCAACCCUUGUCAUUAGUUGCUACGAAAGGGCACUCUAAUGAGACUGCCGGUGACAAACCGGAGGAAGGUGGGGAUGACGUCAAGUCCUCAUGGCCCUUAUGGGUAGGGCUUCACACGUCAUACAAUGGUACAUACAGAGCGCCGCCAACCCGCGAGGGGGAGCUAAUCGCAGAAAGCGUAUCGUAGUCCGGAUUCUAGUCUGCAACUCGACUGCAUGAAGUUGGAAUCGCUCGUAAUCGCGGAUCAGCAUGUCGCGGUGAAUACGUUCCCGGGUUUUGUACCCACCCCCCGUCACACCAAGGGAGCGCAUUUCCCCGCCGCC